CCUACUCAGAGGUGGAUAGAUUAGGUGAUUACAGGGGAAAGAGUAUAAGCGAGAGCUCGCGAAUCUGAACCCUCACGCUUAAGAAAAAUAAAUCGUAUUUCGUGCUAGAUAUCUUUCUUUAUUCAUAGUGGUAUGGCAUUCUACAUUUCUACUUCUUGUUCGACUUCAAUUAUUUAUUCUUUAAUUUGUGAACUACAACGUGCAAAUAAUUUAAGUUACAAUUAGAUGGUCCAUCCAAUGAAUCAACCGAUUCAUAGGGGUUGAAACCGCCACUACCCUCCUCAAUCCGGCAAUCACAAUCUUUUUAGGCAAUUUCCAUUGGAUCCAUUGACUGACCUGUGAAUGAGAGAAAUCUGGACGAGGAGGCCUAACUCCACGUGCAUUCAAGAACGAGCUAAACUUGGAGUUUGGAUGAAGGUUUUUCCGCCAAGUGUAAGCCAUGCAUCGUCCUUCUCACCCUAACAAGACAACAACCGCCCCACCUGGCUUCUCCCCAAUCCAUCUGAAUCCUCUAUAUAUUUUGUUUCACCAAAAUCAUCCCAACCCCAUUUGGUCAUUCAACCGGAAGGAAGAAACACCGAAAGGGUUCUCAUUAAAGGCUGAGAAAUCAUGAGCAGCGGUUCAUGCAACACGGGCUGUGGCUGCCCCGUUCCAUGCCCUGGUGGGGUUUCCUGCAGGUGUGCAACGGGACGCAGGGAGGAUGAUCCCAGCGUAGAACACAAGCGGUGCUCGUGCGGGGAGCACUGUGGCUGCAACCCUUGUGCCUGUCCAAAAGGUACCAAUAUCACUGGCACUGGAAGAGGCGCUUGCCAAUGUGGCGUUGGUUGCAACUGUGUGACUUGUGCAGCCUAGGGGGAGGGUUCCUACUUGCUCGUAUGCAUGUUGAUGGAAGGUCGUAAUCUAGUGAUGUAAUGUAAUAAUAGACUAGUAGUUCCCACGUAGUUUGUUUCAAGCCUAGACAGUGAACUACGGGCACCCUUUGCUCUGAUGUAUUCUCCUAUUCUGCAUGCUAUGAAAUCCUUGUCACUACGUGAAGGAUGUUACUAAUAAGCAAUUUCAAGUAUUUAUUACUACUAUCUUUUGCAUACUACAAAUACAUCAAGAACCAUCUUUUCUUC